rnacentral:rRNA from 1 species
GAUGAACGCUAGCUACAGGCUUAACACAUGCAAGUCGCGGGGCAGCAUGGGGGUUGCUUGCAACCCCGGAUGGCGAGCGGCGCACGGGUCAGUAACGCGUAUCCAACCUGCCCUUCACCACGGGAUAACCCGGCGAAAGUCUGACUAAGACCGUAUGUUGUCCAUUGACGGCCUCCGAUUUGGACGAAGUGCUUGGUGGUGAAAGGGUGGGGCUGCGUCCGCUUAGCUUGACGGCGGGGUACCGGCCUACCCCGGCCACGAUCGGUAGGGGUUCUGAGAGGAAGGUACCCCGCACUGGAACUGGGACACGGACCAGACUCCUACGGGAGGGAGCAGAGUGGUACGGUAGGCACUGGGCGUAAGCCUGAACCAGCCAAGUAGCGUGUAGGAUGACGGCGCUGUGGGAUGUAUGCUGCUUUUAUGCGGGGAUAGAGUGGCCAACGGGUGGGCUUUUGCCGGUACCGCAUGAAUAAGGACCGGCUAAUUCCGUG